rnacentral:rRNA from 1 species
CCUACGGGAGGCAGCAGUGGGGGAUAUUGCACAAUGGGGGGAACCCUGAUGCGGCGACGCCGCGUGAAGGAAGACGUAUCUCGGUAUGUAAACCUCUAUCUGUAGGGCAGAAACUGACGGUACCUGACUAAGAAGCCCCGGCUAACUACGUUCCAGCAGCGGCGGUAAUACGUAGGGAGCAGGGGUUAUCCGGAUUUACUGGUCGUAAAGGGAGCGUAGGCGGCGGUGCAAGUGCGCAGUGAAAGGCCCGGGCUCAACUCGGGGCCUGCUUUUGAAACUGGGCGGUUUGAGUGCAGGAGAGGCAGGCGGAAUUCCUAGUGUAGCGGUGAAAUGCUUAGAUAUGAGGAGGAACACCAGUGGCGAAGGCGGCUUGCUGGACUGGAACUGACGCUGAGGCUCGAAAGCGUGGGGAGCAAACAGGAUUAGAUACCCUUGUAGUC